GAAUUCGCCCUUAGAGUUUGAUCCUGGCUCAGGACGAAUUUUGGCGGCGUGCUUAACACAUGCAAGUCGAACGAGAAUCUAUGGACGGAGUUUUCGGACAACUGAAAUAGAGGACAGUGGCGGACGGGUGAGUAACGCGUGAGGAACCUGCCUUUCAGAGGGGGACAACAGUUGGAAACGACUGCUAAUACCGCAUAAUGCAUAUUAAUCGCAUGGUUGAUAUGCCAAAGAUUUAUCGCUUUGAGAUGGACUCGCGUCCAAUUAGGUAGUUGGUGAGGUAACGGCCCACCAAGCCGACGAUUGGUAGCCGGUCUGAGAGGAUGAACGGCCACAUUGGGACUGAGACACGGCCCAGACUCCUACGGGAGGCAGCAGUGGGGAAUAUUGCACAAUGGGGGAAACCCUGAUGCAGCGACGCCGCGUGGAGGAAGAAGGUCUUCGGAUUGUAAACUCCUGUCGUUAGGGACGAUAAUGACGGUACCUAACAAGAAAGCCACGGCUAACUACGUGCCAGCAGCCGCGGUAAAACGUAGGUGGCAAGCGUUGUCCGGAAUUACUGGGUGUAAAGGGAGCGUAGGCGGUUCGGCAAGUUGGAAGUGAAAACUAUGGGCUCAACCCAUAGCCUGCUUUCAAAACUGUCGAACUUGAGUACUGUAGAGGUAGGUGGAAUUCCCGGUGUAGCGGUGGAAUGCGUAGAUAUCGGGAGGAACACCAGUGGCGAAGGCGACCUACUGGGCAGCAACUGACGCUGAGGCUCGAAAGCAUGGGUAGCAAACAGGAUUAGAUACCCUGGUAGUCCACGCUGUAAACGAUGAAUAC
rnacentral:rRNA from 1 species